rnacentral:rRNA from 1 species
CUUAGCUUGCUAAGGCCGAUGGCGACCGGCGCACGGGUGAGUAACACGUAUCCAACCUGCCGUCUACUCUUGGACAGCCUUCUGAAAGGAAGAUUAAUACAAGAUGGCAUCAUGAGUCCGCAUGUUCACAUGAUUAAAGGUAUUCCGGUAGACGAUGGGGAUGCGUUCCAUUAGAUAGUAGGCGGGGUAACGGCCCACCUAGUCUUCGAUGGAUAGGGGUUCUGAGAGGAAGGUCCCCCACAUUGGAACUGAGACACGGUCCAAACUCCUACGGGAGGCAGCAGUGAGGAAUAUUGGUCAAUGGGCGAGAGCCUGAACCAGCCAAGUAGCGUGAAGGAUGACUGCCCUAUGGGUUGUAAACUUCUUUUAUAAAGGAAUAAAGUCGGGUAUGGAUACCCGUUUGCAUGUACUUUAUGAAUAAGGAUCGGCUAACUCCGUGCCAGCAGCCGCGGUAAUACGGAGGAUCCGAGCGUUAUCCGGAUUUAUUGGGUUUAAAGGGAGCGUAGAUGGAUGUUUAAGUCAGUUGUGAAAGUUUGCGGCUCAACCGUAAAAUUGCAGUUGAUACUGGAUAUCUUGAGUGCAGUUGAGGCAGGCGGAAUUCGUGGUGUGGCGGUGAAAUGCUUAGAUAUCACGAAGAACUCCGAUUGCGAAGGCAGCCUGCUAAGCUGCAACUGACAUUG